UGGAUGAUGAUGGCAGCAGCAGCCGUUCUCCUCUGCAGGUGAAAGCUGAGCUGUGAGAGAGGGCAAAGUCUGCAGGACCUCACAGUGAUGAUGAGCUUCAUAAAAAACACGGCAACUCUGAAAAACGAGAGCCAUUACUAGUGAUGAGUACCAGAGUGGAAAGAAAACAUCCUGCUGAGGAAGAGAUUAACCUCAGAGGAGGUCUUUUUCUGUUAGGUCUCAGUAAGAAGACAAACUGCAGAGGACACACAAGGCAGUUCAUGAGACUAACCCUGGAAUUUGAUCCUGGUUUCUGAGAGCAGAUUAGUUCCACAUGAGGCAGAGGACUCUGAAACCUGAUUCUGACAUUCUCAGACCUACACUGGGAAAAUGUGUUGCUGCCGGUGACAACAUUGUCAAGGAGUCACCUGGAAACACUCACCUGCCCUGUUGCCCUCCAUCUUUCCAGGAACAGCUUGUUCUGAAGCCAAACAGGGGACUUCUGGGUAAUUCCCUGAAGUAAUUUCUAUUGAAAUCUCUUGCUUUUUGUCUCACUAGUUGCAUUGCUAAAACUAGAAUUCAUUGUCUCAGAGCUCUUUAAAAACUGAUAAUGUGAUCACAUAAAAACUCUGAUUAAACAUGU